AUUGUUUUGCUGUCUGUCUGAGAUAGAAGAUGAAGCCUUCCUAGUGAAAGUAAUGAAUUGUAUGCAACAGAUUAACUUUGUGGCUAAGAAUUAUUCUGAUUUAAUUCUUGCUGCCUAUUGCUUGAAACACUGUUCUACACUGAAGAAACUAUCCUUUUCAACCCAAAAUGUCCUGAAUGAAAAAGGAAACCAGAGAUGUAUGAAAAAACUAAUCAUCUGUUGGAAUGAUAUGUGCUCUGUAUUUGUAAGGAGUAAAGACAUCCAGGUACUCCAAAUAAAAGACACUAGUUUCAAUGAGCCAGCCAUUCGAAUCUUGUAUGAAUAUCUGAAAUACCCCAGCUUCACCCUUAACAAACUUGUGGCAAAUAAUGUGCACUUCUUUGGUGAUAACCACGCAUUCUUUGAAUUGAUUCAGAACUGCAGUUUGCAAUAUUUGGACCUUGGCUGCUCAUUUCUGACUCACAGUGAGGUGAAACUGUUGUGUGAUGUCUUGAACCAGGCAGAGUGCAACAUAGAAAAACUUGUGGUAUCACACUGUAAACUUUCACCUGAUGACUGCAAGAUCUUUGGCUCUGUCCUGAUGAGCAGCAAGACAUUGAAGGUUCUUAAUUUGGCAUACAACAAUUUGAACCAAGGAAUAUCCUUACUGUGCAAGGCUUUGUGCCACCCAGACUGCAUUCUGGAGUA
rnacentral:lncRNA from 1 species